UCUAAGGAAAUGAAAGAGAGAACUUUUUCCUAUUCAAUUGUGAGUGACCUAUUGAAAAAGAGGUUACUUAAUAAGAGAGAUAAAGAUCUUUGAAAAUUGUAUAUAAAUAGUAAAUAAUGCGAAAGGUAGCAAGUUAAAUUAUUAGCAAUAGUAAUUUAAGAGCUGGAAAAAUAUAUAACAAAUAGGUCAAGCUACUAAGAGCGCACAGAGGAUGACUUGGCAUCAGGAGCUGAUGAAGGACGUGAUAAGCUGCGAUAAGCUACGGGUAGACGCAAAUAGUUAUUGAUCCGUAGAUUUC
rnacentral:misc_RNA from 1 species